AAUAGUAACUAAUGUUAUCUAAACUCUGCUUAAGUUGUCAAUACAGCUGGCAUUGUUUGCUGCCAGAUGCUUUGGAGAUUAUCCGGCUAACAGCCAUCAAGCAAAGGGGAAUGGAUUGAACAUGAAACUUGCAGAGUUGAAGAAAAACCUUGAAAGAAAACAUCUGCAAUUUGAUCAGAUGGGUUUCCCAAUGAAAUGCAUGCCUGGUACUUGUAUGGAACCCGAGGUUGGAAGCUAAACCGAGAGCACUAACGUUGUUGCACCAAACGAUAGGAUGAAGUGGAAGUUUAAUUUCAAGGUCCUUGAAUUGCAUACGUGUAUACGGAGCCAAUACAGUUCAACUGUAACAACUGCUAGUGUUCGGUACUCGGCUUCUUAUAUAGCACUUGAUGAAAUCAAGCUCUCACAAAGACUGCAAACCCACAAGCAGACUUGUGACCACUUGGGGAUGUUUGCAUCCCGUAACCAGAGUGUUCAAGCAUUACACACAGCACAUGCAAGCCUUGCAAAUGAUGAUGCAUAGCCAUCGACUAAUACAUACUCUGCUCAAGCAUUUCACACCUCUCAUGCAACCAUGCAGCACAAGGUGUACAACCAUUGUUCAAUACAGAUUCUGCUCAAGCCAUGCAGCAGCGCUCAACGGCAUCUUUUAGAAGAUAUUCAUCCUCUAGAAUACUCUCAACAAAUCAUCUGUUAUAGCAGCAUGUCUUUUGUUUUAUUAGCUGUGUUUUUCUGUUACAAGGAAUAUUCGUUUUCUGCACUUUUGUACGAUUAUAUAUUCAUAGGUUCUGCCUCAUUGUAAAGUAGUGAGAAAUAUACAAGAA